UCCAGACUCCUACGGGAGGCAGCAGUGAGGAAUAUUGGUCAAUGGGCGGGAGCCUGAACCAGCCAUGCCGCGUGAAGGCGAGUGCCCUACGGGCGUUAAACUUCUUUUGUGCGGGAGCAAUAAGGGCCACGCGUGGCCCGAUGAGAGUACCGCACGAAUAAGCAUCGGCUAACUACGUGCCAGCAGCCGCGGUAAUACGUAGGUGGCAAGCGUUAUCCGGAUUUACUGGGUGUAAAGGGCGUGUAGGCGGGAAAGCAAGUCAGAUGUGAAAACCACGGGCUCAACCUGUGGCCUGCAUUUGAAACUGUUUUUCUUGAGUACUGGAGAGGCAGACGGAAUUCCUCGUGUAGCGGUGAAAUGCGUAGAUAUGAGGAGGAACACCAGUGGCGAAGGCGGUCUGCUGGACAGCAACUGACGCUGAGGCGCGAAAGCGUGGGGAGCAAACAGGAUUAGAUACCCCCGUA
rnacentral:rRNA from 1 species